rnacentral:rRNA from 1 species
AGUUCGAUUAUAGGCUCAGAUUGAACGCUGGCGGGAUGCUUUACAUGCAAGUCGAACGGCAGCACAGACGGUCUGGUGGCGAGUGGCGAACGGGUGGUAAUGUAUCGGAACGUGCCUAGUAGCGGGGGAUAACUACGCGAAAGCGUAGCUAAUACCGCAUACGCCCUUCAGGGAAAGCUGGGGACCUUCGGGCCUCGCACCUUAUUAGGCAGCCGAUAUCGGAUUAGCUAGUUGGUAGGCAACAGCUCACCAAGGCGACGAUCCCGUAGCUGGUUUGAAGAGGACGACCAGCCACACUGGGACUGAGACACAGCCCAGACUCCUACGGGAGGCAGCAGUGGGGAAUUUUGGACAAUGGGGAAACCCUGAUCCAGCCAUCCCGCGUGUGCGAUGAAGGCCUUCGGGUUGUGGCAAAAGCACUUUUAGCAGGAAGAAACGGCACGGGGACAAUACCCGUACAACUGACGGUACCUGCAGAAUAAGCACCGGCUAACUACGUACCCAGCAGCCGCGGUAAUACGUAGGGUGCAAGCGUUAAUCGGAAUUACUGGGCGUAAAGCGUGCGCGACGGUUCGGAAGAAGAUGUGAAAUCCCAGAGCACAACUUUGGAACUGCAUUUUUAACUACCGAGCUAGAGUGUGUCAGAGGGAGGUGGAAUUCCCGCGUGUAGCAGUGAAAUGCGUAGAUAUGCGGAGAGAACACCGAUGGCGAAGGCAGCCUCCUGGGAUAACACUGACGCUCAUGCACGAAAGCGUGGGGAGCAAACAGGAUUAGAUACCCUGGUAGUCCACGCCCUAAGCGACCAUCAACUAGCUGUUGGGGCCUUCGGGCCUUGGUAGCGCAGCUAACGCGUGAAGUUGACCGCCUGCAGGAAUUACGGUCGCAAGAUUAAAACUCAAAGGAAUUGACGGGGACCGCACAAGCGGUGGAUGAUGUGGAUUAAUUCGAUGCAACGCAGAAACCUUACCUACCCUUGACAUGUCUGGAAUCCCGAAGAGAUUUGGGAGUGCUCGCAAGAGAACUUGGAACACAGGUGCCGCAUGGCUGUCGUCUGGCUCGUGUCGUGAGAUCGUGGGUUGAUCCGCAACAGGCACAGCCUUGUCGUGGAUUGCUACGAGGGCACUCUAAUGAAGUUUGCCGGUGACAAACCGGAGGAAGGUGGGGAUGACGUCAAGUCCUCAUGGCCCUUAUGGGUAGGGCUUCACACGUCAUACAAUGGUCGGGACAGAGGGUCGCCAACCCGCGAGGGGGAGCCAAUCCCAGAAACCCGAUCGUAGUCCGGAUCGCAGUCUGCAACUCGACUGCGUGAAGUCGGAAUCGCUAGUAAUCGCGGAUCAGCAUGUCGCGGUGAGGCCGUUCCCGGGUCUUGUACACACCGCCCGUCCACCAUAGAGGUGGGUUUACCAGAAGUAGUUAGCCCUGGCUCGUAGGAGGCGAUUACCACGGUAGGAUUCAUGACUGGUGAAGUCGUAACAAGGUAG